rnacentral:rRNA from 1 species
GACAGAGGUGCCGAGCGUUAGGCGGAAUCACUGGGCUUAAAGCGUGUGUAGGCGGACCGUUAAGUACCUUGUGAAAUCCCCCGGCUCAACCGGGGAACGGCUGGGUAUACUGGCGGUCUUGAGCCAUCCAGGGGCAGUCGGAACAGACGGUGGAGCGGUGAAAUGCGUAGAUAUCGUCUGGAACGCCGAGGGUGAAAACAGACUGCUGGGGAUGCGCUGACGCUGAGACACGAAAGCCAGGGGAGCGAACGGG